rnacentral:tRNA from 1 species
AUAGAGGUGGCUUAGGGGUUAAGCUCUUGACUUGCAAUCUGGAGGUCUUGGGUUCGAAUCCCGCCAUGUACC